rnacentral:rRNA from 1 species
UACGUAGGGUGCAAGCGUUAAUCGGAAUUACUGGGCGUAAAGCGUGCGCAGGCGGUUGUGCGAGACAGGUGUGAAAUCCCCGGGCUUAACCUGGGAACUGCACUUGUGACUGCACGGCUGGAGUGCGGCAGAGGGGGAUGGAAUUCCGCGUGUAGCAGUGAAAUGCGUAGAUAUGCGGAGGAACACCGAUGGCGAAGGCAAUCCCCUGGGCCUGCACUGACGCUCAUGCACGAAAGCGUGGGGAGCAAACAGG